rnacentral:rRNA from 1 species
AUUGAACGCUGGCGGCAGGCCUAACACAUGCAAGUCGAACGGUAACAGGAAACAGCUUGCUGUUUCGCUGACGAGUGGCGGACGGGUGAGUAAUGUCUGGGAAACUGCCUGAUGGAGGGGGAUAACUACUGGAAACGGUAGCUAAUACCGCAUAACGUCGCAAGACCAAAGAGGGGGACCUUCGGGCCUCUUGCCAUCGGAUGUGCCCAGAUGGGAUUAGCUAGUAGGUGGGGUAACGGCUCACCUAGGCGACGAUCCCUAGCUGGUCUGAGAGGAUGACCAGCCACACUGGAACUGAGACACGGUCCAGGCUCCUACGGGAGGCAGCAGUGGGGAAUAUUGCACAAUGGGCGCAAGCCUGAUGCAGCCAUGCCGCGUGUAUGAAGAAGGCCUUCGGGUUGUAAAGUACUUUCAGCGGGGAGGAAGGGAGUAAAGUUAAUACCUUUGCUCAUUGACGUUACCCGCAGAAGAAGCACCGGCUAACUCCGUG